GAUGAAGAACGUAGCGAAAUGCGAUAAGUAAUGUGAAUUGCAGAAUUCAGUGAAUCAUCGAAUCUUUGAACGCACAUUGCGCCCGCCAGCAUUCUGGCGGGCAUGCCUGUUCGAGCGUCAUUUCAACCCUCGACUUCCCUUUGGGGAAGUCGGCGUUGGGGACCGGCCGUAUACCGCCGGCCCCGAAAUGAAGUGGCGGCCCGUCCGCGGCGACCUCUGCGUAGUAAUCCAACUCGCACCGGAACCCCGACGUGGCCACGCCGUAAAACCCCCGACUUCUGAACGUUGACCUCGGAUCAGGUAGGAAUACCCGCUGAACUUAAGCAUAUCAAUAAGCGGAGGA
rnacentral:misc_RNA from 1 species